GACGAACGCUGGCGGCGUGCUUAACACAUGCAAGUCGAACGAUGAAGCGGGUGCUUGCACUCGUGGAUUAGUGACGAACGGGCGAGUAACACGUGAGUAACCUGUCCUUUUCUUUGGGAUAACGGCUGGAAACGGCUGCUAAUACUGGAUAUUCAGGCUGCAUCGCAUGGUGUGGUUUGGAAAGGUUUUUUCUGGGAUUGGGUGGGCUCGCGGCCUAUCAGCUUGUUGGUGGGGUGAUGGCUUACCAAGGCUUUGACGGGUAGCCGGCCUGAGAGGGUGGUCGGUCGCACUGGGACUGAGAUACGGCCCAGACUCCUACGGGAGGCAGCAGUGGGGAAUAUUGCACAAUGGACGAAAGUUUGAUGCAGCGACGCCGCGUGGAGGGUGUAGGCCUUCGGGUUGUGAACUCCUUUUUCUCGCGAAAAAGGCACAGUUUUGGCUGUGUUGAUGGUAGUGGGGGAAGAAGCGCCGGCUAACUACGUG
rnacentral:rRNA from 1 species